GGCCUGAUGGCAGAGUGGUUAUGCAACGGAUUGCAAAUCCGUGUACGCCGGUUCGAUUCCGACUCAGGCCUCCA
rnacentral:tRNA from 3 species